GCCGAAAGAGCUCAGUUGGGAAGAGUGUUAGACUGAAGAUUAAAAGGUCUCUGGUUCAAUCCCGGGUUUUGGCA